GAUGAAUUUUCAUAGGCUCCUCCAGGGCCAGCUCAACUUCUCAGACUUUAUAAACAAGGCUUUGCAAGGAGGUCUGUGCUCCAUCGGGGAGUCAGGGGCAACAAAAUGAGGUCAAGGAUCCAGGUCUUCACGGGCCUGUUGCUCUGUGUCUCUGGUGUCUGUGGUGACAUUGUGAUGACCCAGUCUCCAGCCUCCCUGAUUGUGUCUCCUGGAGAGAGCGCCACCAUUAGGUGUCAGUCCAGUCAGAGUCUUUUAUACAGUGGUAACAACAAGAAUCUUUUAAGCUGGUACCAGCAGAAACCAGGACAAUCCCCCAAACUGCUGAUCUACUGGGCAUCCACCCGAGCAUCUGGAAUCCCAGAGCGGUUCAGUGGCAGUGGGUCUGGCACGGAUUUCACUCUCACCAUCAGCGGCGCACAGGCUGAAGAUGUGGCGAGUUAUUACUGUUGGCAGGGUAUUAGUGCUCCUCCCACAGUGAUUCAGCCUCGAACAUAAACUUCCUGCCAAGGUCUCCCCACCUGCUUGCUCCCUGUGUGACCCAGGGCUUGAACAUUUCCUCCUGCUGCCUGAGAGACUGUGUCUGCCUGAUGGAUGAGGAAGUCUGAAGAGCUGAGCAGAAGUUAAAGGGCUCUUUGUCUCUGAAGUAUUUUGCUAUAUGAAAAUACAGCCAAGCUAUGUGUAUUAGUUUUGUAUUGUUUUAUUAUAAUUAACAAACUCAAAUUUUUGAAAUGAGAAAUUCAUUAGCUAUACUUGCAUAGGACAAAAAUCGAAUACCAGAUUCAAGAACUGAAAUAAACAUAUUGUAAGGUACUUUUCAUUUACAGACUGUAAGACAGAAUCUAUCUCUGCCCUUUCCUGUACCUUGAGUUCCUUUCAUUCCUUGACUGGUGGUCUUUUCCUUCAUCUGCAGAGUGAACAGCAUUUCAUUUCUCUGAAAGUUGUCCAUAGUGACAUUUUUCACUGAAUAUCCUUUUCUGCUUCAACUGUAAACCAGAAAAUGUGCUUACCUCCAAUGAUGAAUUUAAGUUUCUAUUUAAUAGCACAUGCUCUUCAGUCUUCACAGUUUGUAUUAACUAAUAAAAUUCUUCGUUUGGUCAUG